rnacentral:rRNA from 1 species
UACGGUCAAAUCACGCUGAAAACACCGGUUCUCGUUCGAUCACCGAAGUUAAGCAUCGUAGAGCCAGGUCAGUACUUAGAUGGGGACCGCUUGGGAACACCUGGUACUGUAAG